rnacentral:misc_RNA from 1 species
GAUGAAGAACGUAGCGAAAUGCGAUAAGUAAUGUGAAUUGCAGAAUUCAGUGAAUCAUCGAAUCUUUGAACGCACAUUGCGCCCCCUGGUAUUCCGGGGGGCAUGCCUGUUCGAGCGUCAUUUCACCACUCAAGCCUCGCUUGGUAUUGGGCAACGUGGUCCGCCGCGUGCCUCAAAUCGACCGGCUGGGUCUUCUGUCCCCUAAGCGUUGUGGAAACUAUUCGCUAAAGGGUGUUCGGGAGGCUACGCCGUAAAACACCCCCAUUUCUAAGGUUGACCUCGGAUCAGGUAGGGAUACCCGCUGAACUUAAGCAUAUCAAUAAGCGGAGGA